rnacentral:lncRNA from 1 species
GCCACAAACCUGUAAGGACUUAAUCACCCUAAACAUCAACAAAACUUCAAGGGACUUAAUUUCCCUAAACAACAACAAGCCUUCAGGAAACAUCUGUCCUCUAGAGGCAAACAACAACAGACCUGCAGGGAUUACACUACCCUGCAAUGACUGGAAUUAAAAGGCUAACAACCACAAACCUGUAGGGACUUAAUCACCCUAAACAGUAACAAACCUUCAAGGGACUUAACUGUCCUGAACAUAUGGGAGACCUUCAGGAAAUAACUGUCCUGUAGAGGCAAACAACAACAAACCUUCAGGGACUUCACCGUCCUGAGUAGCAACACAACUUCAAGGGACUUGACUGCCCUGAACAUAAGGGAGGCCUUCAGAACAGAGAAAAAGAUAGCGGAAGCAAUAAAGGUAGGACUAGGUGUUGGUGCAUUGGUGGCACAAGUGGCGAAGACGAUGGCCGCGAAAGUGAUCGGCGACGGUGGCCGACAACGGUGGCCGGAGAUGGUGGCUGGAUGGCAACACCGGACAGAUGCGAAACAAAAACCAGAGACUGCGCAUUGAAGUAUAAAAACACAGGUUGAAAAAAAGACUUUUAGGGGGCCGCCGGUGGCGGUAGCCACCAGCGGCAACAAAGACAAAGUAGAAAAUGAUCAAAAAACCUGGUCUGAUACCAUGUAAAGAAAGAAAAUGGGAAAAAACUGUCUUAUUAGUUUUGAAUAAAAUAUGAGAAAUAUAUAUAAGAGAGAAUCUAUAAUUCUGCUAUUUUAUCCUAUAAAUAUUCUAUAAUGAUAUAACAUUAUUACUGCACAUCACCUAUAAUAAUAACAAUAUAUUCUCUCAAUAAUCUAGAGAUAUGAUUUAUUUUUCUAACAAUGUUAUCCAAAAACAAACACAAAAAACAUACAAAAAAAAAAAUUGAUCCUUGAAGAAUUUCAGUGAAGAAGUGAGAGUGACAGCACCGCCGUAAAUGAGAGCCCGUAAAUGAGAGCAAGUUCCGUGAGAGUGAUUUGUGAGAGCAGAAGUUACUUUUUUGGUAUACACACUGAGUGAAGAAAGUCUCUUAUUUUUAGAAUUUCAUAAAUAAAAUAAUAAAUUAAAAAAGUAAAAUUAGGUAGGUGGGUUGGCGGGUUAACCCGAUCCACUACGGGUUCAACCCACACGAAUCAAGUUUAAAUGAGCCAGGUUAAAAUCUGACCCGCAUAAAAAAAAUUCAAUUUUUUCAAACCCAACCUGGCCCAAACCCGUGGUGAGCUGGGUUGACUUGCGGAUUGUGACCCAUUUUGACGACUCUAAAAAUAUGUAUGAAUUUUUACUUAGAAUGAAAUAAUAAAACCCAGAACACCCCGUUCUAAUUCCUAUAUAUCUUAAAAACUAACGUCGUAGAGGUGGAAUAUCAUUUUUAAAUUAGUAGUGGAGACAUAUGAGUGUGUCAACUUUUUUUUCUUAUUAUAGAAAGAUUAUUAUUAUAAUUAUUAUGAUAAUUAUUGAAUAAAAAUUACUUUAUUAAUGUUAUAGAUUAUAUAUUAAGAAGAAACUUGCAUGGAAAUCGGUUUCCGGAAGGAAAGAGUUUCAGUUACAUAACUGAACUGAAAAGGGUAUACUAUCGAUUUUCUUUUUCCGUUUAUUCAAUUCAUUCAAACAUUUCCAACACACACCAAUCUUAUGAAGGUUCAUUUUCAAGAAUUAAUCAGAUAGGUCGAUCACGCGAGCAUGGCUUUGAGGUUUUCCAUAUCGCAGGCAAGUUUUACUCCUCAAUUCAGUACGUCCUUCGUCAAUCUCCGAUACGGAGAUUGCAUCCGUAUCGAUUUCAGCCUGUUGCGUUAUACGGUAAUUUGUGUGUAUGGAGUUUUUUGUUCUGUGACUUACGAAUGAAUAUCCUGUGGAGGCUUCAAGUAUCGGGUUUGCAGAGCUGAUCUUUAACUUAUUACUGUUCGUCUUAUAGUGUUUUUAUCAGUCGUCGAGCUUUUGAUAAUUUGCUCGUGAUUCUACUUUCAAACCCUUCCAUUUACACCAGGGAAAUAUGAGAACUUGAACUUGUGUUCGGUAUACAUGUUGUGUGCAUUAUUGAUUAUGUUGCUAGUUUUUACACAAAACUAGUUGGCAUAUGUUGUUUAUAUCUUGGAUUUAUUUAUGAUUUAGCUACUUUCAUAAUUUAUUUUUACAGGUUGCAAGACGACAAUCUAAGUUUGGACGGAUUCAAAGUGUGUUUGCUAGAAGCUAUUUUUCUGUCAAUAACUUUGGAAAUCGUCCAGGUAUAGAUCCCUUCCUCCUAGACCAUGCAUUAUUCUUAUAGUUAACUUCUUGUCAUUUGCUUGUAUAAGUUAAAAGUUUUGCUUUUCUUAAUAUAGCUUAAUUUUAUUCCCUGAUUAUGUUGGUUUGGGAAUUAACUUUCAACAAUUUUUUUGUGUUGUGGGAUUAUUUUAUCUUUCUCUCCUUUUUCUUUUUCGGAGUGGAUGAAUUGGUUUCUUUGUGUAAUUAUUCAUGGCUGUUUUUACUUUCAGUAUACGUUCAUGUUCAAAGUACUAUUGGAUAUUGAGUUCCGUUUGGCAUUUAGCUUUAUGUUUUUUGCACUUUCAAAAUUAUAUAUGUAGGUUAUAGACUUUUGGGUGCCCAAGAGAGAUUUCAGUCUCGCUACUUUGGCAGUAUAUCUCGUCAAGUGCGUGAUGCAGUUGAAGCCACUAAAGUUGCUUAUCUCAAAGAGCUUUACCGUCGGAAUGAUCCUGAGGCUGUGAUUAGAGAAUUUGAAAGCCAACCAUCUUUGCAUAAUACCUCAGCUGUUUCCGAAUACGUGAAAGCAGUGGUGCAAGUUGAUAGGCUUGACAAAACUGAAUUAAUGAAGACAUUUAAGAGAGGUGCUUAUUUCGGUUGAACUGCUCAUAUUUGUUUGCUUGAUGUUAUAAUUCUAAGUGUAAGUUUAAGUUUCUUAUUACAUACAAUUACGAAAGUAGUAGACCGUAUAAAAAUGAAGAUUUAUUAAUCUUUUACCUUAAGGUUUUAAGUAAAGAAUGGUGUCAAUUUUUUAUAUUAAGUUCAGGUCUCUCAUUGGUAUUGUAUCUGUAAUAAGCUUCGUCCUUUAGAGACGUAACAUUUGAUUCCCCUGUAUCUCUUAAUACUUGCUGAUUGACCUUUUAAUUUUAUUCAUUAUUUAAUUAUAUAAGGUCUUUGCCAAGCAGAGAACCAUAUGCGGUUUUAGUGGUUCUACUUUCUUUCAGGGUACUAUAUUGUUUCGUAGGGGUGUGGAAGUGGUGGAAUUUUGUCUGCUAGAAUUCACUGACCAAGAAGUUUUCCUGACUUCAAAUUUUGAUCAAACAAAAGUGUUGCUAUUUUGAUUAUAAAGUUGCUAUUUUGAUUAAGUAAAAAGUACCAGGGCAAGGAUUAUAGAACUCUUCAUUUACCAGGGCACUUGAAUUAAUACUUGUCUAAAGUGAUAUUGAUCAUACUGCAUCAGUCUUUUUGGAUAUUUUUUUUCUCUAGCAUAUUUUUUAGACCAUAAAUUAUGACCAGAGGUGAUAUGAGAUUCCAGGCAUGUCCAAAUCGGUAGCGAGUGAGGAAGAAACCGCAGCUGGACUUUUUGCUUUAAGAAAUUUAGGAAAAUCAAGAAAAGAAAAUAUUUUUGGAACUUCUAGUAAUCCAAUCCACACCGUGGCUAGAGGACGUUGGAAUAUAAAAGAGGAGAUAUGGACAACGUUCAGGAUCUUUUUGUAUACCUUUAUCGUGAUGUGUGGUUUAGCAGCACUCUAUGAAGAUAGUGGUAUUAGAAAAGGUAUUUCCUAGUCAGUAUUGUUUUUUCAUAUUGUUUUUUUAAUCUGAUCUUAGAAGACAUGUUCUCUGGUUUGUUUUUCUCUAUUUCCCAGGACUUGGUAUAAAUGAAACACUGACACCCGUCAUGGAAACAAACACAAAAUUUAGUGAUGUAAAAGGUGUUGAUGAGGCAAAGGCUGAGCUGGAAGAAAUUGUUCAAUACCUUCGAGAUCCUAAGGUAGCUUUUUUGCCAUAAAUUCAUGCUUCCUGUUGCAUACAUUUCAGGCACUGUGCAACCAUGAUUGAACGCUUGAACUGGUAUUGUGUAUGUAGAUAUAAUAUAAUUAAUAUAAUUUCUAACAAUUUAACAUAUAUUCAUCAUUACAUGUCCUGGCCUAGUUUAUUUUUCUUGAUCACAUCAUGUGAUUAUUGAUUUAGGGCCAUGUAAAGUAAUCUAGCUCCUAGUCUGUGAACAGGUCAUUGAUUUCAAGUAAAAAAAUAGGGAAACUUUUGACUAAAUUGCAUCUCUUUCUUUGGAUAAUAAUGUCUGAAACUCAAAUAACACGGAUAUAAUAUACUAACUGCUAAAAUUAUGAUUGUUGGAGUAGUGUACAACUUACAUAAAGCUGUUUUUGGGUGUAUACUCUUUGAGAUAUACUUGUACUCAUUUUGUAUGUAUACACAUGCAUCAGCUGAGAAUAUACUCACUGAUUUUUCCAAAACAUCCAAAUUCAAGUCUUAUAGCAUGUUUCUAUUUCCAAAACUCUUGUGUUAUAUUUUUAUAUGGUUAUUUCCUGACAAGAUACAAUAGCUUAUAUAUUUUCUUGUCAUAUUUAUUAUAGUGAUUUGUUUCCCUUGUGACAGCGGUUUACUCGUCUUGGUGGUAAGCUUCCAAAAGGAGUUUUGCUUGUUGGUCCACCUGGUACUGGAAAAACGAUGUUGGCUAGAGCUAUUGCUGGUGAGGCUGGGGUUCCGUUCUUUUGUAGCAGUGGAAGUGAAUUUGAUGAGUUAUAUAUUGGUGUUGGUGCGCGAAGGGUGAGGGAUCUUUUUUCUGAAGCAAGGAAGGUAGCACCUUGUAUAAUAUUCAUUGAUGAGAUUGAUGCUAUGGGAGGUAAGCGAAAUCCACUUGAAUCAAAUUGGCGUAGGAUGACAUUAAAUCAGUUAUUGAUUGAGCUAGAUGGAUUCAAGCCUAAUGAGGGCAUAAUUUUGAUUGGGGCAACUAAUUUUCCGGAAUCAUUGGAUGAUGCAUUGGUGAGACCUGGGCGGUUUGACCGCAAAGUUGAGGUUCCCAAUCCGGAUGUAAGAGGAAGACAGCAGAUUUUGGAAUCACACAUGUCAAAGGUAUGGUUUUAUCUCUUGCAAUGAGCAUCAUAGAACAAUUUCAAAAGCACUGUUAUUGCGUUUGCUAUUGUUUGAUAUUGGAAGAUAUUUUGUUUUUAACAAUGUCUUCUACUUAUCAUAUUUAUGUUUGGUUGUCAUGUAUUGUAUCACUCUUUAUUAUAAAUAUAUUACCUUAUCUGUGUUUGUGUUUUAGAUAGAAGGGAAAUUAAUUUUAUACCUAGUUUUACUAUGUUCAACAUAGUAUUAGAGUAUAAAGUUUUUGAUGGCCAAAUUUGAAACAGUAUUCUCUGGUAUCUCAGUUCACAUCGUGUUGAUAUAUUCUGUUUGUGUAAAAGGGGAUCUACACUUUGUUUUAUGUUCUUUCAUUCAUGUACCUAUGCUGAAAAUCUCUCAUUUACUAGAGAUAAAAAUCAUACCAUAUAAGUAGAGAGAAAACCUUAAACCAGUUUUAUGAAGUCCAGUUAAGUUACUUGAGAUAAAAAAUGAGAGAAAAUAUAUUUUUGGAAGACUUGAAAGAUCCCUAUUAUGAUCUUCUAUUUAUAAUGGAAAAAAUUGAUAUAAGAGAGCAUGGAAGAUCUAAAGUCUGCACUAAACACCUAGGUACAAAAUUAGGUACAGCUGGAAGAUGUUUUGAACACACUACUCUCUACUUGGACAUAAUGAUUACUAUAACACACUCAGAUUUAAUAAUUACUUCUAACAAGGUUAAAGUUCGUGCAUUCGGUCCGUCAUGAGCAAAACAGCAAGUUUGAUGACCUUGAAACACUGCCCGAAGGCCCUAUUUUCUCUAUCCAACCUGCACUCCUUGUAAAAUAAGUAAGUGCAUUUCUUUCUGCCUCUAGAUGCGUUCAAGCGGCAUGGCUUGAAUUUUUCGUUUUGGGUUGAAGAGUUACAUCUAAUGCUUCAUUUCAGGUUGCAAACCACCCAAAAGAUAAUCCAAAAAAAUGUUCUUUUGGGUAAAGGAUGAACAUGCGAUGGGAGCAAUUCAAGUUAUUCUGUAAAUUCUUCACACAAGCCUGUUGUUUCAAUUCAGCCAGUUUUCAGAAAGUGUUUUCAUAUAAUUGCACCCCAAACCAUAUCACCAUUUCCCCUUCAGCUUCUAGAAUCCCAUAUUUAGCCCAUUUGUAUCUAAUUUAGUUUCACUUCUCCACUAGAAUUUGAACUUCAACAAAUUCCUACCCUUAGUAAUCCACCCAAUAGGGUCAUCUCCGUCAAAGGAUGGCAGUUCCACUAUAACUGCAAUUUGAUACUCAUCCAUGCCAUGGUUGCUUGAACAUGGUCCUUUCCCUUCUUAGUGUGACGAACUGCCUUGUUCAUACUCACACUUAUGGCUCACCCAUUAGUUUUCUUAACUACAACAUAAUCUUCUCAGAAUUUUCCUUCACCUGCCGCAUAUGCACGUAUCCCUUUUGCAAAUUUCUUGUCCAGGACCUCAGGAACUCUAGAGAUGUUAUCUGGCCAAAAAUCACCAAACCUAACAACUUUUUGCCCUCCUCCCCCUCCCAAGAAAAAAAAAUAGAAAACAGAUAAACAAAUACAAACAAAACUACAUAUAUUCUCUGCAGAAACUAUCAAAUGUAAAUUAUAAAAACUAAGUCCUAACAAUCCAGUUUUUAAAACUGGUGUAAAUAGUAAAGCUAAGGCUAAGGCCUAUAUUUCCUAGAAUAGGCUUUCCAAAUAAUUGGUCUCUCUGGGUGGUCCGAGGUUCCAUAUCAGCAUGUAUCGUAUUUGGUUGAUUGGAUUGACAACAUGAUUCCAUUUUUCAGAGGUACAUGGUUAGUGCUCUCAACAUAUUGGUACUAAACACUGCGUUUUAUGCUUUCUUUUUGGGCAAUGAUUGGCUAUCAAUUGGAUACUCGUGUAUGGCUCACACCCACUUAUUUUGAAGUUAACAUUUUUUACAUCCAUUAUAUGUAUAACUCUGAUCAGCAUUACCAACUUGUUUGCAUGGAUUUUAAUCUCCAAUAAAAUACAGGUUGUAACGGAUGCUGAUGUUGAUCUAAAGAUCAUUGCUCGAGGAACACCUGGGUUCUCUGGUGCUGAUCUUGCAAACUUGAUUAACAUGGCUGCUAUCAGGGCUGCAAUGAAUGAUUCUAAAGCUGUGACAAUGGCUGAUUUAGAGCAUUCAAGAGAGAAGAUACUGAUGGGCAGUGAAUUGAAGUCAACUGUUGUAUCUGAGGCGACACGAAAGCUCACUGCUUUCCAUGAGGGUGGUCGUGCCCUUGUUGCCAUUUAUACUGAUGGGGCCGACCCUGUUCACAAAGCAACUAUAGUUCCCACCGCUACGUCUCUUGGCAGGGUUAGGCAAUUGCCCGAUGAUGAUAAGCAGAGCGUUUCCCGUAAAGAAAUUCUUGCCUGGAUAGAUGUUUGCAUGGCAGGCUGGGCAGCUGAAGAGCUAAUUUUCGGAGAAGUCUCUUCUACUGUAUCCUUUGAGCUCAAACAAGCAACUAGGGCGGCAAGGAUGAUGGUUACCAAAUAUGGCAUGGGCAAUGAAGUUGGACCAGUCACUCACGAAUACAAUGAUAAAGGGAGGAGCAUGAGCUCAGAGACAAGGCUUCUCAUUGAGAAAGAGGUGAAGCAACUCGUGGAGAGAGGUUACAACAAUGCAAAAACCAUUCUGACCACUCACAGCAAGGAGCAUCAUGCACUUGCAAAUGCUCUUUUGGAGCACGAGACUCUCACAGGAACUCAGAUAAAGACAUUGCUUGCCGAAGUUAGAGCUCAGAUGGAGCAGCAGCAGCAGCAUCUACAAACAGUUGAAGCUCAGAGCAGUUCACAAUCCAGCACGGUGCCUCCAUCAUCCAGCUGCUAGGGCUAAAAGUGCUCCAGUGGGAUCUUAGCAGAACAAGAUGCUGGAGCAGCAAACAUAACUAGUACUAGUUGAUUGAAAAUGUUCUUAUAGUAAUUUUUACAGGUUUUUCACACGGAGGAGCUCAGCUCAUGAACCUCAGAUUCUAGGUGACAUAAAAGUAUAUGCACUUACUUUUCUCUUUCUUUGUAGGGUACGAUGAAAAAAAAAAUAAGAGAUUAUCAGGUACCUCCUACUGAAUCUGGUACUCUCUCACGUGGUCUUUAUCAAAGACUAUAAAUUAUAACACAUUAUUACCUUGCUCAAUUCUUUGUUCUCUUCACCUUCCUCUGAAUGCCC